GACGAACGCUGGCGGCGUGCUUAACACAUGCAAGUCGAGCGGUAAGGCCCUUCGGGGUACACGAGCGGCGAACGGGUGAGUAACACGUGGGUGACCUGCCCUCCACUCUGGGAUAAGCCCGGGAAACUGGGUCUAAUACCGGAUGUGACCUCUGGAUGCAUGUCUGGGUGGUGGAAAGCCUGUGUCUUUGGAUGCUGGGCGGUGGGGGGACCGGGCCCGCGGUCUAUCAGCUUGUUGGGGGGUGAUGGCCUACCAAGGCGACGACGGAUAGCCGGCCUGAGAGGGUGAUCGGCCACACUGGGACUGAGACACGGCCCAGACUCCUACGGGAGGCAGCAGUGGGGA
rnacentral:rRNA from 1 species